AUUGAACGCUGGCGGCAGGCCUAACACAUGCAAGUCGAACGCGUGGCGGACGGGUGAGUAAAGUCCGGGAAACUGCCUGCUGGAGGGGGAUAACUACUGGAAACGGUAGCUCAUACCGCAUACCCUCAUGUGUGCCCAGAUGGGAUUAGCUUUGUGGGGGGGUAACGGCGCACCAAGGCGCCGAUCCCUAGCUGGGCUGAGAGGAUGACCAGCAACACUGGAACUGAGACACGGUCCAGACUCCUACGGGAGGAAGCAGUGGGGAAUAUUGCACAAUGGGCGAAAGCCUGAUGCAGCCAUGCCGCGUGUAUGAAGAAGGCCUUCGGGUUGUAAAGUACUUUCAGCGGGGAGGCGUUACCCGCAGAAGAAGCACCGGCUAACUCCGUGCCAGCAGCCGCGGUAAUUC
rnacentral:rRNA from 1 species